UUGAUAUGAUUUCGUGGCCAGGAAUAAAGAAGAAUAAUAGAGGGCAUGUCACCAGCCAGUUCUGACUGGACAAGAAUUAUAGACACAAUUUAAAAGGGGAGAAAACCAUUCUUGAGGCCUUCGAUGCAACCCUUUUUGUCAAUGGAAUCUGCUUACUUUUCAUUUCUUUGCAGUCCAAAUUAAUCCCUUCUGCUUGUUCAUGACGGGAUCUCUUAUCUCCCUUAAAAACAAUUGGCUUCACAACUCUUACAUAGAUACUCCCUCAGCAAUAUUGAUCUCCACACAGCUAACAAAAGCAGUUCUGUACAUAUACUUUGAAGUUUGUAGUGACUUGCUACAACCACCUUUGCUGAUUAGCUAAGGAAGUAUUGCAAGCCAAGGGAAAAAGGAGAAAGCAAAAGAAAGUUUUGAAUCUUCAAGAAAUGUACAUUGACCGAGGUUCUCCACUAACACCCAAUAGGGUUUCAGAGAUAUUACUUAUCUGUGCCAACACGCUAGCUGUUGGUUUGUCGUAGGUCUUAUGGCUUCAGAAAGAUUUAAUUUUUGUAAAGUAUCGUAGAUUAUAGGAGCUGCUUCAAAGCGCAAACUUGUAAUUGGUGGUUUUUUUUCCUUGCAACGAAAGGGGAUAAAAGUUCUGAUUGAAAAAUCUUUAAAUAAAAAGUAUUUUCAACUCUCAAGCAUACCCUUGUGUUAUUUUUUUGUUUUGUUUUGUCUUCUUGAGCAUGUUUUAAGUUGCUAUUUGGAUAUAACUAUAGCAGGAGUAACCUUUAUACUGUGCCAUGUUGUUGAGAGAUGUGACAACCCUCGAAAUGGAUGCCAAAUCAUUCUAAAUCAACUUUCUACCAUUGUCGUGCUGCCUUUGGUGGAAAGAACCAACUUAAAGCCCAAGUUUGUGUCCACAACUUUACAAAUGACCUAAUGUCACAUAACCCAAGUGUACUCCACAACUUUCCAGGUUGAUCUAAGAUUAAGAAAAGACAAUACCAUCCUAAUUUCAUUUUUUUUAUUUUUCACCAAGUUUUUUGUGAAAUUAUGUCCCAGAUUGCAUUCAAACAAGGCUAAGAUUGUUUCCUGAGACUAAAGAAAUCACAAAUUAAAGCCAGCCAAUGAAAUCUGGGCCGCCCCACAGGCUGUAAAAUCAAAAUUCCUGGCUCCACUAGAAGCCAAACCAGUGCGGCCAGGUUUGCCCAUCAAGGAAAUGCCGACUGGCUGUUUUUUGUUGUUUGUGUGGUGUGCCGAGCUAUGCAAAUCCACCACAAAAUAGCAUCACAACUCAUGAGUAGGUCAAAGUGGAGAGACAAGAUGCAACAGUUUGACAGCGCCACCUUGCUUUACAAAAACAGUGGCAUUACAGCAACUUCAUAAAAAAGAAGGGCUCUAGAGGCACAUGAAGCUUGAAACCCCAUCUCUUCUCAAUGUUUUUUUUCCUGUUUGAACACAGUUGUGAAAACAAUGGCCUAACCAUUUUUCUCCUCAGUUCAUAGCUUUUUUCUGUUCAAACACAGUUUGCGCUUAUAGAUUGUUUCAAUGCAUCAUUUGCUAAGAAGGCGGCUUCAAACUCAUGAUGCAUCUGUGUGCAAUUCCUGUGGAGCAAACAAUCAGCUGAAUCUACUGUCAAUUGGAUAUAUUCUUGAUUUCAAAUCAAACAUACUAUACAAUUUGUAAUUAA